UCUAUUCUCCCACACCAAACCCCUCUCUCCUCAAUCCUAAUAAUGUCAAUUCUCAGUGCUCUCUCAUCUUCAUCACUACUCCACCAUCUUAUUUGCCACGCCGCUAUUCUCAAAGUAGAAGAUUCGUAUUUCGUAGCGCUCUUCACCUCCUCUUUCCUUCAUGUGCUGAUUACACUUCCCUUGCACACUGCCCAAAAUUGUGUCUAGUCUCUUACAUUCCCUCCUAGGUUUCUUAAUUUACCCCCAUGUUGUUAUGGAUUUAUAUCUACCACUGGUGCUGCAUGUGGCCAGCUCCAAGGUGUAUCAUGCUUUGCAAUUUGACAACUGAGGAUGCUCUUAGCUGCAACUAUAAUGAUUGCAUAUGAAUUGCUUUGAAAGUGCUAUCAUGGCACCACCAAGGUGACAGAUGAGCUAGUGCAGAUCAUCCUUGGUCAGGUCUGGAACUUGGAGUUUCAAAGGCCUUUCUUGAGUUUACUUGUGACUAUACCUGAAUACAUUCUAUCAGGUAGUCACAACCUUCAGCGCUAUUUUUGGUGCCGUAAAAGAUGUUGGAAUCCAACAUGUUCCUCUAAACCCAAGAGCUUGAUAGCUGUUGGGGAUUGGAUGAGGCCUUAUUGGGUACUAUUGAUUCCAGUUCCCCCGACAGUGUCGCUUCAUCAGUGGCAUCCAAGGAAACAUUGUUUCCAGGAGAAAUCGGAGGAAGAAGCUCAAUGAAAGGCUUCUUACGCUUAGAUCGGUGGGGCUCCUUACAUUAGCAAGGUAAGCACCAUGCUUGUCUUAAUUUGGUGGUUGAUUAAUUCAUUAAUAAUAACUAGCUAAUACUGUUCAUCUGGUGUGCACAUAUAAAAUUUUGAAUUGGGUAGAAGAGCAGUACUACUGCAGUAAUUGGGAGUGUUGUAGAAUCAUGGGAUGAUUUGGUACUUUUUUUUUUUACAGGAAAAU